rnacentral:rRNA from 1 species
GACAGAGGGUGCAAACGUUGUUCGGAAUUACUGGGCGUAAAGCGCAUGUAGGUGGUCAGGCAGGUCGGAUGUGAAAGCCCUCAGCUCAACUGAGGAAGUGCAUUCGAAACCGCCUGACUCGAGUCCCGGAGAGGAAGGUAGAAUUCUCGGUGUAGAGGUGAAAUUCGUAGAUAUCGAGAGGAACACCGGUGGCGAAGGCGGCCUUCUGGACGAGGACUGACACUGAGAUGCGAAAGCAUGGGGAGCAAACAGG